rnacentral:rRNA from 1 species
UAAAUAUAUUUUUAUCCCUUCACUGUUACUAAGUAAUUUUAUAAAUUAUAUAAAGUUUUUAUGCUAAAACUAGUAACAAGAAUUUGAAUUUCUCCUAAAUAUAAGUAUAAACCAAAAUGGACCUACCAUUGGUAAUUAACGUCUAUCAACCUACUAUAACAACACCACUCAAGAAAACACUAUAACUUCCAACGUUAACCUAACACAAGAAUAUCUCAGGAAAGAUAAAAAGAAAGGGAAGGAACUCGGCAAAUUUUAACCCCGCCUGUUUACCAAAAACAUCGCCUUCUGAUCAAUUAUAUAAGGUCCCGCCUGCCCAGUGACUUGCUUAAACGGCCGCGGUAUUCUGACCGUGCAAAGGUAGCAUAAUCAUUUGUCCUCUAAAUAAGGACUUGUAUCAACGGCAUCACGAGGGUUCUACUGUCUCCCUCCUCUAAUCAGUGAAACUGACCUCCCCGUGAAGAGGCGGGGAUUAAAAUACAAGACGAAAAGACCCCAUGGAGCUUAAAACCCAAUAAUAAUCUCUCAUAAACACUCCCUCCAAAGUUAUAAAAGUUUUAUCUUUUGGUUUUGGGUUGGGGUGACCACGGAGUAAAAUAAAACCUCCCUGACGAUAAUCUACUAACUUAAAUACAAGAGCCACUGCUCUAAGAAUCAAAAAUUUGACGUAAUAUGAUCCGGCAACCGAUCAACGAACCAAGUUACCCUGGGGAUAACAGCGCAAUCCAUUUCAAGAGCCCUUAUCGACAAAUGGGUUUACGACCUCGAUGUUGGA